AUGCAUUCACAGUGGCAGUAUCGUAGCCAAUGAGGUUUAUCCGAGGCGCAAUUAUUGCUAAUUGAAAACUUUUCAUUUCUUCUAGAUUGCUUAACUUAUUGGCAUAUAAGUAUUGAU
rnacentral:snRNA from 1 species